GAUGAACGCUGGCGGCGUGCCUAAUACAUGCAAGUCGAGCGAACGGACGAGAAGCUUGCUUCUCUGAUGUUAGCGGCGGACGGGUGAGUAACACGUGGAUAACCUACCUAUAAGACUGGGAUAACUUCGGGAAACCGUAGCUAAUACCGGAUAAUAUUUUGAACCGCAUGGUUCAAAAGUGAAAGACGGUCUUGCUGUCACUUAUAGAUGGAUCCGCGCUGCAUUAGAUAGUUGGUAAGGUAACGGCUUACCAAGGCAACGAUGCAUAGCCGACCUGAGAGGGUGAUCGGCCACACUGGAACUGAGACACGGUCCAGACUCCUACGGGAGGCAGCAGUAGGGAAUCUUCCGCAAUGGGCGAAAGCCUGACGGAGCAACGCCGCGUGAGUGAUGAAGGUCUUCGGAUCGUAAAACUCUGUUAUUAGGGAAGAACAUAUGUGUAAGUAACUGUGCACAUCUUGACGGUGCCUAAUCAGAAAGCCACGGCUAACUACGUG
rnacentral:rRNA from 1 species